rnacentral:rRNA from 1 species
GUGCCAGCAGCCGCGGUAAUACGUAGGGCGCAAGCGUUGUCCGGAAUUAUUGGGCGUAAAGAGCUCGUAGGCGGUCUGUCGCGUCUGGUGUGAAAUCCCAUGGCUCAACUGUGGGCUUGCAUCGGGUACGGGCAGACUAGAGUGCUGUAGGGGAGACUGGAAUUCCUGGUGUAGCGGUGGAAUGCGCAGAUAUCAGGAGGAACACCGAUGGCGAAGGCAGGUCUCUGGGCAGUUACUGACGCUGAGGAGCGAAAGCAUGGGGAGCGAACAGGAUUAGAUACCCCCGUAGUCC